rnacentral:rRNA from 1 species
UACGAAGGGGGCUAGCGUUGCUCGGAAUUACUGGGCGUAAAGCGUGCGCAGGCGGUUUUGUAAGCCAGAUGUGAAAUCCCCGGGCUUAACCUGGGAAUGGCAUUUGGGACUGCAAGGCUUGAGUGCGGCAGAGGAGACUGGAAUUCCUGGUGUAGCAGUGAAAUGCGUAGAUAUCAGGAGGAACACCGAUGGCGAAGGCAGGUCUCUGGGCUGACACUGA